rnacentral:sRNA from 1 species
CAACAGCUGAAAGGAGGUGAUCCAGUGUCGAGAGAAGCAUUGGAGAGAGGUGUCGGAACAGUUCGGGAGAGCGCGCUCUAGGGCAGCCCCUGGGGCGAUGAUCCCCCGAAUUGGCAGAGCCUAACCGGCCCCGCCUCCGUAUUCUCGAAGGGCCGCUGAUCUGGCGGCCCU